AGCCCAAAUUGAAAUACAAAAAGACAUGGUCCAACCCAAUUACCCUUAGCACAUUCUUCCCAACCCAUUAGCCCAUUUAAGUGCAAGAUUUAAUCCUAGCCAUCUAUUUCCUUCUAAUCCAAUGGCCAUCAUCCCUUCCCACUUCCAUAUAAAAUACCCAAUUAUAAAAACCCUACCCUUAAGUUUUCAAGACCUAGACCUAGACACAAAAGAGGAACGGCAGAUCGGCAUAGAAAAAUACCAAUCAAUUCAGUGAUUUUCCACUCCAAAAACACACACACGAGAACAUAGAGGGUCUCUUCUAUCCAACACACUAGAAAAGCGAUAUCCAGAGAAACGUAUUUGCAAUGUCACAAAUAAUUAAUUACUACUUUUGAUUAUUCAGUUGUGCUGCCUAUAAAUCCUAUGAAAUUCCAGUUGCAUAUUAUGCAUUUGCAAUGGAAGCAAACGAAGUUGACAUCGAGGGAAGUGUUGUUCCAGUAGCAAAUACACUAGGGGAUUAGGAGAAGGAAAUCGCUGAUCCUAUUCAUUUUUUUGGGUUUGAUAUUUUCUUUGGACGAUAAGUUUAUCCUCUGUUAGCUUUGUUUUGGGCAUGCUUUCCGGUGCCGAUUCCGGUUCUCAUCCGCGUUCUGCUACCUUUUCGUGUUCUCCAUCAAAUAAUCAAAUUUCAGAUAUUUAGAGGUUCCUUUCUCUUUCUCUUAAGCUUCAGAUCUUUAUUUUUAUAUAUGGAUUGUGUUAGAUCAUGAUUGAGUUUGAAUUAAAUGUGGGUUUUGAUUAUUACAUGUGUGGUUGAUGAUUUUGUUUUUUUGGUGAUGAUUUUGAUUAUUAUAUAUGUGGUUGUUAAGAUAAUGAGAAUGACGAGCAGUGGGGUUGUGGAAUCUUUCUUCUUUUUUUAUUUAAAAAAAGGGACUUGGAUUUCUUAGGAUAAAUUGACCAUGGCAAGUACCGAAUAUUAAUAUGAUUUGAACUUUGGAUAGUUUUUUUGUUAUUCCUUUAUUUCGCUUUAUUUAAUUAAAUCGAUAGUAGCAUACUUAGGCCGUUAAAAUUCAUAAACAUCAUAGCAUGCUUCAGGCGCGUAUUUUAAUAAUAUUACCUUCCUAAACUCGGGUGUGCAUUUCAUAUGACCCAAAUCAAAUCUUAAAACGUUGAAUAAAUUAUGUUUAGGAUUGCGGGUGCAUUUCAUGUGGUGCGAUCCGAAGACGUGUUUUGAACGACGUUCAAUCUUCUUUAAAAUUGAAUAAAAGCGGUUAAAAGAUAAAAUCUGCAUAUAGGUCCAAAGUUGUUUAAAAUCAGAUAAUUAAGCCGAAUAUAACAGUUGAGCGACCGUGCUAGAAUCACGGAACUCGAGAAUGCCUAAUACCUUCUCCCGGGUUAACAAAAUUCCUUACUCGGAUUUUUGGUUCGCGGACUGUAACACAGAGUCAAUCUUUCCUCGAUUCGGGAUUUGAAAUCGGUGACUUGGGACACCAUAAAUCUCCCAAGUGGGGACUCUGAACUUAAUAAAUAAAUAAUCCUGUUUCGAUUGUCACUUUAAGUUGGAAAAAACUCUCUUAUAUACCCUCUUUUCCGGGGUGUAGGUAAAAAAGGAGGUGUGACAGCUCUGGCGACUCUGCUGGGGAUCGAACCCAGAAUUUCUGGUUCAGGGUUCAUGAAUUCGAGCUUAGAAUAUUUUUUAUAGUUGGCUUUAUCCUAUUAUCUGNNNNNNNNNNNNNNNNNNNNNNNNNUUUUCUGUUAGAGUCAUAUUCUAAAUUUAGGACGAGGUUCGGACAAGUUGCAAAGCCGGUGAAGCUUCUGUAUUCCCGGUACGCUGCCCCCCUCGGCUCGAGCUGUCCGCUCGGGUAAGCCAAGUCUAGAACAAAUAGACCCAGGUUUUUAAACCUAGAAAAGCACAGCCUCAUGCCGGAUCCCUAGUAGGAACAUUUGUCUGCAUCACGUGCAUUUGACUUAGGGGACUCAACACAGGGGUUGGGUUCGUCUAGGACAGGUGUACCCAAAAUAACAGACCAUCUUAAUGCAUCUUAUGUGCUACAUGUUGCAUUUCUUCAAGGGUAAAAGGGUUAUUUUGGCGGACCAAUGAUAAUUGAGGGCGAAUGAAAAAAUGGGAAAAAAGAGAAAAAAAGAGAGGCUGAAGUGUGAGGAUGAAGCGAGUAGGGCCCAAUUAUAUUUUUAUUACAUUUUAUUAAGAAACAAAGCAUGGAAACUUCAAAAAGAUUUUGUACUUCUUAUCAUUUUUCAGAAAAAUCAAAAAAUCGAAAAAAAAAUAAAAGAAAAUCCAAAAAGAUUUUAUAUGUUUCAUCAUUUUUCGGGAAAAAAAAUGUGUUUUCUAUAUGUUAGUUAUUUUUUUUUAUUAUUCUCGCCCGUAUCCAAUCUGCCCGAACUACGCAUACCUGAUUCUCGUCUUUCGGGACGUGAUACGUAGGCAACCCACAUAGGGUCUGGUCUUCCUAGUAAAUCUUAGGUUCUUGGCUUUGCGGGGUCUUAGCCAAAUUUUGCACUUUCAGCCACCUUUUGGCCAAAUAAGCCAUUUUGCAAAAAUAGCCUCAAUCAUGUCUUAGGGAAUGUUAUUGUCUCACAUAGUGUUUGUUUAAGUUUUCUUAUACAGGUGUGGAUUUACUUACCAGAGUUUGAGCAUGACAGAUACCUUAGGAUCACUGCAUUCAGGAGCUGUUCGAGGAGCCAUUUUAUAUUCAAUUGUCCAUGUUUUACUUUCUAGUCAUGUAUAGUAGUAUUUAGUCUUUUAGGUGAUAUUAGAGUUUGUAAUAGUCUAGUUAAGUUUGUCCAGUCUUUUGUUAUUGUAUUUCUUAUUUUGUAUUUGGAAAUGUGUUACAAGUCAAAAAAAAAGAGAAUUUUCUUUUAGUACAUCUUUAAAAGGUUUUCUUUAAGG
rnacentral:lncRNA from 1 species